UAACGCGUGGGCAACCUGCCCCAUAGAGGGGGACAACAGCUGGAAACGGCUGCUAAUACCGCAUAACAAGGAGAGAGCGCAUGUUCUUUUCUUCAAAGAUUUAUCGCUAUGGGAUGGACCCGUGUCUGAUUAGCUGGUUGGUGAGGUAACGGCUCACCAAGGCGACGAUCAGUAGCCGGCUUGAGAGAGUGGACGGCCACAUUGGGACUGAGACACGGCCCAGACUCCUACGGGAGGCAGCAG
rnacentral:rRNA from 1 species